rnacentral:rRNA from 1 species
GACAAACGCUGGCGGCGUGCUUAACACAUGCAAGUCGAACGGAGUACCCUUGAAUGAAGCUUCGGCAGAUUUUAAGGAAUACUUAGUGGCGGACGGGUGAGUAACACGUGAGUAACCUGCCCUUGAGUGGGGAAUAACACACUGAAAGGUGUGCUAAUACCGCAUAACAUAGCGAAAUCGCAUGAUUUUGUAUCAAAGAUUUAUUGCUCAAGGAUGGGCUCGCGGCCGAUUAGGUAGUUGGUGAGGUAACGGCUCACCAAGCCGACGAUCGGUAGCCGGACUGAGAGGUUGAUCGGCCACAUUGGGACUGAGACACGGCCCAGACUCCUACGGGAGGCAGCAGUGGGGAAUAUUGCACAAUGGAGGAAACUCUGAUGCAGCGACGCCGCGUGAGGGAAGAAGGUAUUCGUAUUGUAAACCUCUGUCUUCGGGGACGAUAAUGACGGUACCCGAGGAGGAAGCACCGGGCUAACUACGUAGCCAGCAGCCGCGG